AUGUGGAGUAUGACGGACAACCUAAGGCCCACUCGUUUGGAGGCAACUGACGUGGCAAACGCGGUGCUGGGCGGUAGUGAUGCCAUUCUCCUUGGUGCUGAGACUCUCCGUGGGUUGUAUACAGUUGAGACUAUUUCAACAGUAUGCAGAAUUGGUGCUGAGGCUGAGAAGGUCUUCAACCAGGAUUUGUACUUCAAGCGAACCAUGAAAUACGUGGGAGAACCCAUGACCCACUUGGAGUCUAUUGCUUCCUCUUCAGUGCGGGCUGCUAUCAAAGUUAAGGCUUCGGUCAUCAUUUGCUCACCUCAUCUGGACAGGAGAAAAAGAGUCCACCAUGCCGUUCCUCGUCUAAAAACAAAUCAAUUGAAGUGGAGCUUCACGAGCGCAUUUGAAGCAAGACAAUCACUCAUAGUUAGAGGCCUCUUUCCCAUGCUUGCUGAUCCACGUCACCUGGCUGAAUCUACUAGCACUAGAAAUGAAUCAGUGUUGAAGGUUACUCUUGACCACUGCAAAGCAUCCGGUGUGAUCAAGUCGCAUGGCUUACCUUAG
rnacentral:rRNA from 1 species